rnacentral:SRP_RNA from 1 species
GCCGGGCAUGGUGGUGCAUGCCUGUAAUUCCAGCUACUUGGUAGGCUGAGGCACGAGAAUUGCUUGAACCCAGGGGGUAGAGGUUGCAGUGAGUCAAGAUUGCACCACUGUACUCCAGCCUGGGUGACAAAGUAAGACCCUGUCUCAA